rnacentral:rRNA from 1 species
GAUGAACGCUGGCGGCGUGCCUAAUACAUGCAAGUCGAGCGAACGGACGAGAAGCUUGCUUCUCUGAUGUUAGCGGCGGACGGGUGAGUAACACGUGGAUAACCUACCUAUAAGACUGGGAUAACUUCGGGAAACCGGAGCUAAUACCGGAUAAUAUUUUGAACCGCAUGGUUCAAAAGUGAAAGACGGUCUUGCUGUCACUUAUAGAUGGAUCCGCGCUGCAUUAGCUAGUUGGUAAGGUAACGGCUUACCAAGGCAACGAUGCAUAGCCGACCUGAGAGGGUGAUCGGCCACACUGGAACUGGGACACGGUCCAGACUCCUACGGGAGGCAGCAGUAGGGAAUCUUCCGCAAUGGGCGAAAGCCUGACGGAGCAACGCCGCGUGAGUGAUGAAGGUCUUCGGAUCGUAAAACUCUGUUAUUAGGGAAGAACAUGUGUGUAAGUAACUGUGCACAUCUUGACGGUACCUAAUCAGAAAGCCACGGCUAACUACGUG